GUAAACUUUCUGCGUCUCUCGUUUCGCUCAAUUCCUGCUUACAUUUUACCAGAAAAAAUUAACUAACCCCAAUUUGGGCUUCUGCAUUUCACCAACCUUCCCUCUCCGCUGCCACUGUGCCGUCGUGACUCCACUACCUCCACGCCGCCAUCGCUCUGUUCCUCCCGUGCCCGUCGUUGCUCCGACACACUCGCGCCGCUGUCGCUCCGUAAUAAACGGCAAGGCGGUGCCGCUAACUAUUAGAUCUGAGAUCGCGGAGGAAGUGUGCUUCCUCUCUCAAAAGUACGGCAAGGUUUUGAGGCUGGCGGUGGUGACAGUAGGGAACAAGAAGGACUCAUAGAGUUAUGUGGGAAUGAAGAGAAAGACAUGUGCUGAAUUAGGGAUUAAGUCCUUUGACAUUGACCUUCCCGAACAAGUUUCCGAAUCCAAUUUGAUUAAGCAAGUUCACCAGCUCAAUGUUAACCCUGAUGUUCACAGUAUUAGAUUUAUGUUACUUGUUACCAUUCCAAACUUUUAUUUUUAGCUCAUGUUUGAGGCAAAAAAUGUAUGCAAUCAGGGCCUAGAGAGAAGCUCAAUUGGAGUCUCAGAUUUAAGAUUAUUUUGGGAACUGCCGAGUGACUUUGCUAUCUUCAUAAGGGAUGUCAAAGAAGGAUCAUUCACAAGGAUAUCAAGGCUUCUAAUAUUCUUCUCUCUUGAGACUUUUGAGCCUCAGAUAUCUGAUUUUGGCCUAGCAAAGUGGUUACCUGACCAAUGGACUCACCAUACUGUUUGCAAAGUACCUUCCCCAUAAAUUCUUCAUGCAUGGAAUAGUAGAUGAGAAAACUGAUGUAUAUGCUUAUGGUGUGCUAUUAUUGGAGCUAAUCACUGGAAGACAAGCUUUGGAUAGCUCACAAAAAAGUCUUAUCAUGUGGGUAUGUAAUUGUCCAAAUAAGUGAUUAUAACAUUGAAAACUAGCAUAGUCUUGUGCUAAGUGAAAACUUGGCAAUUAAAUGAUUUGACUAAAUUGUGCAGUUAUUUUUAGGCAAUGAUAAAUGAUAUAUUCGCUCACCGCAAGCCUGCAAGAAUUUUUGGAAGUGUUUUCUAUUGCAUGUUACUGGCAAGUUCAAAUCUAUUCUUUAUUUUAAUUAAUCGAUUGUUGGCUAAUUGAUUGGCAGGCAUUGAUGUUCUGGUUGAAUUGAAAAAGUUGUUUGAGUUGUUAUGCAUAUCUUGUGUUUGUUCAAAUUACCAAGUGAGUUGGUUUGUUGUUUCUUUACAUUUUAGGCAGGUUAUGCUACCUUGGCCAUAGGAACUGAGUGGAUUUUUCGCCCCAAGCAAGAAGUGAUCUCUCCGGUGCUUUGUAGUUACGAUGUUCUUCUUUUGCUGUUAACAUGUUUUUUCCUUGCAUUGCUCUUGUUUCAUUAUCGAAAUGAAAUUUUUCUGUUGGGGAAAAAAUGUAGCAAAAUUUCAAAAUUCUUUUACAUAAGAAUAAAUUUUUAAAAAAGUAACAUUAUAUAACAAC